GUGGGUAGUUUGACUGGGGCGGUCUCCUCCUAAAGAGUAACGGAGGAGCACGAAGGUUGGCUAAUCCUGGUCGGACAUCAGGAGGUUAGUGCAAUGGCAUAAGCCAGCUUGACUGCGAGCGUGACGGCGCGAGCAGGUGCGAAAGCAGGUCAUAGUGAUCCGGUGGUUCUGAAUGGAAGGGCCAUCGCUCAACGGAUAAAAGGUACUCCGGGGAUAACAGGCUGAUACCGCCCAAGAGUUCAUAUCGACGGCGGUGUUUGGCACCUCGAUGUCGGCUCAUCACAUCCUGGGGCUGAAGUAGGUCCCAAGGGUAUGGCUGUUCGCCAUUUAAAGUGGUACGCGAGCUGGGUUUAGAACGUCGUGAGACAGUUCGGUCCCUAUCUGCCGUGGGCGCUGGAGAAUUGAGGGGGGCUGCUCCUAGUACGAGAGGACCGGAGUGGACGCAUCACUGGUGUUCGGGUUGUCAUGCCAAUGGCACUGCCCGGUAGCUAAAUGCGGAAGAGAUAAGUGCUGAAAGCAUCUAAGCACGAAACUUGCCCCGAGAUGAGUUCUCCCUGACUCCUUGAGAGUCCUGAAGGAACGUUGAAGACGACGACGUUGAUAGGCCGGGUGUGUAAGCGCAGCGAUGCGUUGAGCUAACCGGUACUAAUGAACCGUGAGGCUUAACCUUACAACGCCGAAG
rnacentral:rRNA from 1 species